rnacentral:rRNA from 1 species
UACGUAGGGUGCAAGCGUUGUCCGGAAUUAUUGGGCGUAAAGAGCUCGUAGGCGGUUUGUCGCGUCUGCUGUGAAAAUCCAGGGCUUAACCCUGGACCUGCAGUGGGUACGGGCAGACUAGAGUGCGGUAGGGGAGAUCGGAAUUCCUGGUGUAGCGGUGAAAUGCGCAGAUAUCAGGAGGAACACCGGUGGCGAAGGCGGAUCUCUGGGCCGUAACUGACGCUGGAGGAAGCGAAAGCAUGGGGAGCGAACAGGA